CGAUUCCCGGCCGAUGCAAUUUU
rnacentral:sRNA from 1 species